UGGCAUCCGCUGUUGCCGACAUUGUCGGCUUCGCCAGCAGCCAGGGUUUCAGGCUGCCGUGGAGCUUGCUCCAUGCCACCCGCCAGUUCGCCGUCGCAUCGCUCGGGCGAACGCUGCCCAUGCGGGCAUCGAUGC
rnacentral:ncRNA from 1 species